CUUUAUCCAUGAUUUAGCUUUUAAAGCCUUCGGGCGCUGAGGGAUUGGGAUAUGCUCUAUUAGCUAGUUGGCGGGAUAAAAGCCCACCAAGGCAAUGAUAGAUAGCUGGUCUUAGAGGAUGAACAGCCACAAUGGGAUUGAGAUACGGCCCAUAUUCCUACGGGAAGCAGCAGUAGGGAAUCUUCCACAAUGGACGAAAGUCUGAUGGAGCAAUACCAUGUGAACGAUGAAGGCCUUUUUGGUUGUAAAG
rnacentral:rRNA from 1 species